rnacentral:rRNA from 1 species
AACGAACGCUGGCGGCAUGCCUAACACAUGCAAGUCGAACGAGACCUUCGGGUCUAGUGGCGCACGGGUGCGUAACGCGUGGGAACCUGCCUUUAGGUUCGGAAUAACUCAGAGAAAUUUGAGCUAAUACCGGAUGAUGUCUUCGGACCAAAGAUUUAUCGCCUUUAGAUGGGCCCGCGUUGGAUUAGCUAGUUGGUGGGGUAAAGGCCUACCAAGGCGACGAUCCAUAGCUGGUCUGAGAGGAUGAUCAGCCACACUGGGACUGAGACACGGCCCAGACUCCUACGGGAGGCAGCAGUGGGGAAUAUUGGACAAUGGGCGAAAGCCUGAUCCAGCAAUGCCGCGUGAGUGAUGAAGGCCUUAGGGUUGUAAAGCUCUUUUACCCGAGAUGAUAAUGACAGUACCGGGAGAAUAAGCUCCGGCUAACUCCGUG